GACGAACGCUGGCGGCGUGCUUAACACAUGCAAGUCGAACGAAGAGCGAUGGAAGCUUGCUUCUAUCAAUCUUAGUGGCGAACGGGUGAGUAACGCGUAAUCAACCUGCCCUUCAGAGGGGGACAACAGUUGGAAACGACUGCUAAUACCGCAUACGAUCUAAACUCGGCAUCGAGGAUAGAUGAAAGGUGGCCUCUACAUGUAAGCUAUCACUGAAGGAGGGGAUUGCGCCUGAUUAGCUAGUUGGAGGGGUAACGGCCCACCAAGGCGAUGAUCAGUAGCCGGUCUGAGAGGAUGAACGGCCACAUUGGGACUGAGACACGGCCCAGACUCCUACGGGAGGCAGCAGUGGGGAAUCUUCCGCAAUGGACGAAAGUCUGACGGAGCAACGCCGCGUGAGUGAUGACGGCCUUCGGGUUGUAAAGCUCUGUUAAUCGGGACGAAAGGCCUUCUUGCGAAUAGUGAGAAGGAUUGACGGUACCGGAAUAGAAAGCCACGGCUAACUACGUG
rnacentral:rRNA from 1 species